GGCAAGUUCACUGUGGAUUCAAAUGACAACAAAAUGUUCUUGGGGUAAAAGGGUUUAUACUCACAUUUAUUCUCACGGUGGUAAAUUGAGCACUAGAAUCACGUCUGUACCCAGCAGUCUUCAGGCGCAUAAUCCACCACUGCCUCUGCCUCCUCCCAGAGCACGGGCAGAGCUUUUUAUAUAGUGACUCAGUCAGUAAUAGCUCAUUGCCAGCGGGUGUGGGAGCCUUUGCCUUGCAGUAGGCCAAUUACACCAUCAAGUAAUUAAUGGUCAGGUGAGGAUCCUGGCCGUAGGAACUUUACUUUCCACCCACCUCACCCAGCCACGUUCCUGUCUCUCGCCAGCUGUCCCCUCCUCACUUUGGAGCCCAUAAGGCCUGCUGCCUGCACAGACACCCUGGCGUCCCCUGCCCUGCCAGCCCCCCUUCCCCUCCCUCCCUCACCCCUGACUGCCUGGCCUCCCUCUCUGUCCUCCACUCUUCCUUUGUCUGGGACCUCCGUUCUGGCCCUUCUCUGGCCUCCAGCCGCCUGGGCAGCCUGCUCACCCGCCCCCUCCCCUCCUACGCAGUCCCCUUCUGCCAUCUCCCCUCCCUUGAGCCAUCCUGCUAGCAGUCCCAGGGGCCAGGGGCCCCUGUCAGCGGGCAUCUGGAUCUCUUUGAGGUUUGGGUGUUGGGCAUCUGCUGGCAGGGAAAUGAGCAGCUAUGGGGCAGCCCCUUGGGCCCUGGGGCCCAGUGGGCAGCUGUGGGGAAAGCCCAGUGGGCCCUGGGGCACUUCAGGGAGCCCCUGUCUCCACAGUGAGUUCUCAGCCAUCUGGGGGUCUGGCCUGUGUCACUGGGUGGGUGCCCCUACUCAAGGUGGUCCACAGGCCAAAGAAAACAUAUGAAGCUGUUUUGUGUCCACACUGGGGCCCCUCUGGGCUCUCAGCCACCACUAGAAGGGCAUGGCCAGGCUCAGUGGGCUCAGGGCACCUUUCCCUGCAGGCCUUUCCCCUCUAUGUGCUGAGCACGGCCCUCCUCAUUCAGAAGGAACCUGGACACACUCCACUCCCCAAACCAGCCUCCCAGGAGGCGGUGCCUGGUGCUCCCUUUGGCAGGAGAAAGGCUGUCUGGAGGGGGAGGCUGUGGCAGCAGGAGGGUGGAGCCCUGCUCUAAGGCAUUGGGGUGUGGAGGCUGUGGGGAGGGCUGGGCCCCCUGUGCGGGCAAAGUGCCCUGCCCACUGUGGCUCCCGGGCACUCAGGGUGCAGGGGCUCAGUGCUGUAGUUGGGGCUGGCCGUCAGCUCCAGCCAGGUCAGGACUGCAUUCCUGCAGCUCCCCUGGGGCAGCUGUAGGUUCCUGGGGGAUGCUGGGGAGAGGUCCAGUUGGAGGUGAAGGCUGUCUGGGGAGCUUCUCUGAGCCUCCCCCGCCCUCCUUUGCCUCAGUCCCUAUGGGCCCCAGUGCAGCAGCAUUACUCCUGUUUCGCACCCAGGACAGAAGCAAGGAAAGGCUGGACCAGCCAGAAAUGCGGGCACCCCCUGUUUAUAUCUGUCUGCCCAGCUGGGCCAGACUUCGAGUUGCGGUGGCCAAAAAGUAGCAGUGUGUCCUGCUAGGAAGGUCCUACCUGGAGCAGAACCUCUGCUGGGCCCAGGUCCUGGCACAGGCCAAAGAGCCAGGUAAGAACCUACUCCAGGGAGGCUCCGGCUUCCCCAGGCCAUUUGCAUGCCCCUGGUCCAACAUGGCAGGACUCUGGGGGUACCACCCAGUCCAAGGGUGGGAGGACUGGCUCUUCCUGGAGCCCAGCAAGACACCUUGGCCCUGGGUCUGCUGGAAAUAGCUCCAAGAGCUGCUGGGGGCGGGGGACAGGCCGGGGAGAUGUCUGGAGGGUAGGGGUGGAUGGUCCCCAGAUACAUCCUUACCCUACAAGGACCUGACUGAUGUCACUUUACUGUGUGGCCCCUCACUGCUGUAGCCUGUUUGCUGCCUGAGUGGGCAGCACUGACCCUGCUUUCAGAACAAGGGUCUGCCCUGCCUGCUAUGCCCACUUCCACACUUCUGCACCUGAGUCUUGACCCUUGGCUUCCUCCUGUCCAUCGUGUGCACACAUGCACACCCACCCACACCACAUAUAUGAGCAUACACAGCAGUUCUCCAGAUCAAUAUGGGGACCUCUCUGUUCACUUCAGGCUCUAGGUGUGCACUCCUGGUCCCUCCCUCUACUAAGUGAGUUAAAUGGACACAUUUGGGCCCCUGUCAUUGCCAAAGACCCUCAGACACCUUUACGUUGAUGUCAGAGGGCCACCAGCCUCCUGUUCAGGUGCCCUAGGAGAUGCCGCUAUGAAUGUCCAUGGAGCCCCAGACUUCCGUAGCCCUAGGGAGCCAGGCAGCAUGAGGAUACAGUCUUCUUGGGGCAACCGAAGUGGACUGCUUCUAUGAAGAACAUUCCAGACCACUCCCACCCUUUUUGGUUUGGAAACUUCUCUGGGAAUCAUCUGGGGCUCGUCACUCCCAGGCUCCAAGUUAACCCAUCCCUGAGGACUCUCCCUUCUUUCUGUGACCUGUGAUUCCUCCUGGGUCCCCUGGACACCAGCAUCUCAGACAGGGCUGACCAAGGACAGAGCUUGCAAUGCCCACGCAAGGAAGGUAUCCAAUGAUCCUGUUCCUUGGACCCAUGGGAAAGGAGCAGUGUCCCCUGGAGUCCCUCAGCCCCUGCCUGGGGGUAAUGGUAAGCAGUGGGUUCUGAAGGCUCAGCCCUGGCCCCAGGGCUGCAGGCAAUGGAGAGAUAGGGGGAAGAUGUUUUCAGGGGGACUCCCUGAUGGCCAGUCUGCCACCCUCCAUCUUGCAACUUGCCCAUUUAAGAGAGCCCUCUGUGCGUGAUGCUUUUGACCCCAGGUGAGGAGGUGGGAGCCAUGUCAUUGCUGAUUUUCCUCCCCAGUGCUACUUGGGGACAAUGUUUAAUGAGCCCUUAAGAAAGGUCAGUCUCCCCUACUUAGCUAAGAGUUCUUUACUGAGCUCCGAACAGAUGCAGCUGGAGUCAUGGUUCUUAUGAACAAGUCAUUGGACUUGGAUGCCUUAUUUCUUCCCACCCAAAAUAUUACCCUUCUGCUGUCCAGGGAAAUGAAAAAGAGGCAAGGCUGUGAGACGCCAUAGAAUGCUUAUGGCUGUCCCAGUUAAUGGGAGACUGCUGGGUGCAAGGGCCCAGAGCCCCCUCCAGCCUCUGCACUUUGUCUGCGGCUUGGAUUCCGGAAGAGUUUCAUAAUUUCCAGAGCUGGUAGAAUUAAGCUGAAA